rnacentral:tRNA from 1 species
GGGCCAAUAGCUCAGUUGGUUAGAGCAUCUGACUCAUAAUCAGAGGGUCCGGGGUUCGAGUCCCUGUUGGCCCA